UACGAAGGACCCGAGCGUUAUCCGGAUUUAUUGGGUUUAAAGGGUGCGUAGGCGGACUUAUAAGUCAGUGGUGAAAUCCCUCAGCUUAACUGAGGAACUGCCAUUGAAACUAUUUGUCUUGAGUACAUUUGAGGCGGGCGGAAUGUGUCAUGUAGAGGUGAAAUUCUUAGAUAUGACACAGAACACCAAUUGCGAAGGCAGCUGGCUACGCGAAUAUUGACACUGAUGCACGAAAGCGUGGGGAUCAAACAGG
rnacentral:rRNA from 1 species